UGGCUCAGUGGUAGAGUGCAUGCUUAGUAUGUAUGAGGUCCUGGGUUCAAUUCCCAG
rnacentral:tRNA from 1 species